rnacentral:rRNA from 1 species
AUGGAAUCAAGAUUUCCCAGGUUUAGCCAAGGCUUAGCUCAGGACCCCACUACUCGUCGUAUUUGGUUUGGUAUUGCUACCGCACAUGAUUUCGAAAGUCAUGAUGAUAUUACUGAAGAACGUCUUUAUCAGAACAUUUUUGCUUCUCACUUUGGGCAAUUAGCAAUAAUCUUUCUAUGGACGUCCGGAAAUCUGUUUCAUGUAGCUUGGCAAGGAAAUUUUGAAUCAUGGAUACAGGAUCCUUUACACGUAAGACCUAUUGCUCAUACGAUUUGGGAUCCUCAUUUUGGUCAACCCGCUGUGGAAGCCUUUACUCGAGGAGGUGCUGCUGGUCCAGUGAAUAUUGCUUAUUCUGGAGUUUAUCAGUGGUGGUAUACAAUAGGAUUACGCACCAAUGAGGAUCUUUAUACUGGAGCUCUUUUUCUAUUAUUUCUUUCUAUGCUGUCCUUAAUAACGGGUUGGUUACAUCUACAACCCAAAUGGAAACCAAGCCUUUCGUGGUUCAAAAACGCGGAAUCUCGUCUCAAUCAUCAUUUGUCAGGACUUUUCGGGGUAAGUUCUUUGGCUUGGACAGGACAUUUAGUUCAUGUUGCUAUUCCCGCAUCCAGGGGGGAGUACGUUCGAUGGAAUAAUUUCUUAGAUGUAUUACCCUAUCCCCAGGGGUUGGGACCCCUUUUGACGGGUCAAUGGAAUCUUUAUGCCCAAAACCCUGAUUCGAGUAAUCAUUUAUUUGGUACCGCUCAAGGAGCCGGAACUGCCAUUCUAACUCUUCUUUGCGGAUUCCAUCCACAAACACAAAGUUUGUGGCUGACCGAUAUGGCUCACCAUCAUUUAGCUAUUGCAUUUAUUUUUCUCAUUGCCGGUCACAUGUAUCGAACUAACUUCGGAAUUGGGCACAGUAUUAAAGAUUUUUUAGAAGCGCAUACUCCUCCGGGGGGUCGAUUAGGGCGUGGGCAUAAGGGCCUUUAUGACACAAUCAACAAUUCGAUUCAUUUUCAGUUAGGUCUUGCUCUAGCUUCUUUAGGGGUUAUUACUUCCUUAGUAGCUCAACAUAUGUACUCUUUACCUCCUUAUGCAUUCAUAGCACAAGACUUUACUACUCAAGCUGCUUUAUAUACUCAUCACCAAUAUAUUGCAGGGUUCAUCAUGACAGGGGCUUUUGCUCAUGGAGCUAUUUUUUUCAUUAGGGAUUACAAUCCGGAACAGAAUGAGGAUAAUGUAUUGGCAAGAAUGUUAGACCAUAAAGAAGCUAUCAUAUCUCAUUUAAGUUGGGCUAGCCUCUUUCUAGGAUUCCAUACCUUGGGCCUUUAUGUUCAUAACGACGUCAUGCUUGCUUUUGGUACUCCAGAAAAGCAUAUCUUGAUCGAACCUAUAUUUGCCCAAUGGAUACAAUCUGCUCAUGGCAAGACGACAUAUGGGUUCGAUAUACUCUUAUCUUCAACGAAUGGCCCCGCUUUCAAUGCGGGUCGAAGCCUAUGGUUGCCCGGAUGGUUGAAUGCUGUUAAUGAGAAUAGUAAUUCGCUUUUCUUAACAAUAGGACCUGGGGAUUUCUUGGUUCAUCAUGCUAUUGCUCUAGGUUUGCAUACAACUACAUUGAUUUUAGUAAAGGGCGCUUUAGAUGCACGCGGUUCCAAAUUAAUGCCGGAUAAAAAGGAUUUUGGAUAUAGUUUUCCUUGUGACGGCCCAGGGCGCGGCGGUACUUGUGAUAUUUCUGCUUGGGACGCAUUUUAUUUGGCAGUUUUCUGGAUGUUAAAUACCAUUGGGUGGGUUACUUUUUAUUGGCAUUGGAAACAUAUCACAUUAUGGCAGGGCAACGUUUCACAAUUUAAUGAAUCCUCCACUUAUUUGAUGGGAUGGUUAAGAGAUUACCUAUGGUUAAACUCUUCACAACUUAUCAAUGGAUAUAAUCCUUUUGGGAUGAAUAGUUUAUCGGUAUGGGCGUGGAUGUUCUUAUUUGGACAUCUUGUUUGGGCUACUGGAUUUAUGUUCUUAAUUUCCUGGCGGGGGUAUUGGCAGGAAUUAAUUGAGACUUUAGCAUGGGCUCAUGAACGCACACCUUUAGCUAAUUUAAUUCGCUGGAGAGAUAAGCCUGUGGCUCUUUCCAUUGUGCAAGCAAGAUUGGUUGGAUUAGCUCACUUUUCCGUGGGUUAUAUAUUCACUUAUGCAGCUUUCUUGAUUGCCUCAACAUCAGGCAAGUUUGGUUAA